GAUGAACGCUAGCGGCAGGCCUAAUACAUGCAAGUCGAACGGUAACAUGAGUAGCAAUACUUGAUGACGAGUGGCGCACGGGUGCGUAACACGUAUGCAAUCUACCUUUAACAGGUGAAUAGCCCGAAGAAAUUCGGAUUAAAACACCAUAGUAUUGAUUAGUGGCAUCACUGAUGAAUUAAAACUCCGGUGGUUAAAGAUGAGCAUGCGCGACAUUAGCUGGUUGGUGAGGUAAUGGCUCACCAAGGCGACGAUGUCUAGGGGAUCUGAGAGGAUUAACCCCCACACUGGUACUGAGACACGGACCAGACUCCUACGGGAGGCAGCAGUAAGGAAUAUUGGACAAUGGUGGGAACACUGAUCCAGCCAUGCCGCGUGAGUGAAGAAGGCCUCGGUU
rnacentral:rRNA from 1 species